rnacentral:misc_RNA from 1 species
GAUGAAGAACGUAGCGAAAUGCGAUAAGUAAUGUGAAUUGCAGAAUUCAGUGAAUCAUCGAAUCUUUGAACGCACAUUGCGCCCCUUGGUAUUCCGAGGGGCAUGUCUGUUCGAGCGUCAUUACACCACUCAAGCUAUGCUUGGUAUUGGGCGUCGUCCUUAGUUGGGCGCGCCUUAAAGACCUCGGCGAGGCCACUCCGGCUUUAGGCGUAGUAGAAUUUAUUCGAACGUCUGUCAAAGGAGAGGAACUCUGCCGACUGAAACCUUUAUUUUUCUAGGUUGACCUCGGAUCAGGUAGGGAUACCCGCUGAACUUAAGCAUAUCAAUAAGCGGAGGA